rnacentral:rRNA from 1 species
UACGUAGGGUGCAAGCGUUAAUCGGAAUUACUGGGCGUAAAGCGUGCGCAGGCGGUUUUGUAAGUCUGUUGUGAAAUCCCCCGGGCUCAACCUGGGAAUGGCAAUGGAGACUGCAAGGCUAGAGUUUGGCAGAGGGGGGUAGAAUUCCACGUGUAGCAGUGAAAUGCGUAGAUAUGUGGAGGAACACCGAUGGCGAAGGCAGCCCCCCUGGGUCAAAACUGACGCUCAUGCACGAAAGCGUGGGGAGCAAACAGG